rnacentral:rRNA from 1 species
AGCGAACGCUAGCGGCAGGCUUAACACAUGCAAGUCGAGCGCCAGGUUUCGGCCUGGAGCGGCGAACGGGUGAGUAACACGUAGGUCACGUACCUUAUGGUGGGGAAUACCCCGGGGAAACUCGGAUCAAUGCCCCAUUUGUCCGAAAGGAUGAAAGCGCUUCGGCGCGCCAGAGGAUCGGCCUGCGGCCCAUUAUUUAAUCCUAGUUGGUGAGGUAACGGCUCACCAAGGGUACGAUGGGUAGCUGGUCUGAGAGGACGAUCAGCCACACUGGAACUGAGACACGGUCCAGACUCCUACGGGAGGCAGCAGUGGGGAAUAUUGGACAAUGGGCGAAAGCCUGAUCCAGCCAUGCCGCGUGAGUGAUGAAGGCCUUCGGGUUGUAAAGCUCUGUCGUGGGGGAAGAAGUUCUGACGGUACCCCACAAGAAAGCACCGGCUAACUACGUGCCAGCAGCCGCGGUAACAC